UACAGAGGUCUCAAGCGUUGUUCGGAUUCAUUGGGCGUAAAGGGUGCGUAGGUGGCGCUGUAAGUCGGGUGUGAAAUUUCGGAGCUUAACUCCGAAACUGCAUUCGAUACUGCGGUGCUUGAGGACUGGAGAGGAGACUGGAAUUUAUGGUGUAGCAGUGAAAUGCGUAGAGAUCAUAAGGAAGACCAGUGGCGAAGGCGGGUCUCUGGACAGUUCCUGACACUGAGGCACGAAGGCAAGGGGAGCAAACGGG
rnacentral:rRNA from 1 species